UUGAAGACUCAGUUACAGGGCAACCUUGGUGGCAGUACCUUGCAGGGCUCAGGCAAGAUUCUUGAGGGUGCUCUAUAUGCUAUGAAUUAGCAUCCAAAUAUUGUGCUACUAUAUCCAUAGUCAGGAUUCCCAGGUCCAGAAAUCAAGAGGGUAGGAAUGAGUGGCACCACUCACUAUUAUACUUGGUGACUCACUAGCAAAAUUUUUGCUUCCUAUCCCCAUGACCUUAUACUUUGCUGGCCUAGAGGUCUUAGCUCCAAAGGAAGGAAUGCUUCCACCAGAAGCCACAGGAAUAAUUCCAUUGAAUUGGAAGUUGAGAGCCAUCCAGCCACCUACAGUUCCAUGUGCCUCUGAAUCAACAAGCCAAGAAGAUGGUCACUGUGCUGGUUGGAGUAUUUGGCUUUGACUACCGAGGGGAAACUGCACUACUACUCUACUGGAGAUCCCCUAGGGGUAUCUCUUAAUAUUAGCAUGCCCUGUGGUUAAAGUCAAUAGAAAAUGCAAACCAGCUAGCACUACUAAUAGGCCAGACCCUUCAGGAAUAAAGGUUUAGAUCACCCCACCAGGUAAAGACAAUCAGCUGAAGUGCUUGAGGAGGGAAAAGGGAACACAGAAUGCAUAGUGGAAGAAGGUAUUUAUAAAUACCAGCUAUGACCACAAGACUAUUCACAGGAGCAAGGAUUAUAAUUAUCUUGAGUAUUUCUUCUGUACUUUGUUGAGUGUGUGUGUGUGUGAAGUUGACAAGGGGUGGACUCGUGAUAGUUAAUUUUAUGUGUUCAGUUAUGGUGCCAGAUUUGUGGUCAAACAUUCUGGAUUUUUCUAUGAGGGUAUUUUGGAUGAAAUUAAUAUUUAAAUCACUGGACUGUGAGUAAAGCAGGUUGCCUUCCAAAAUGGGGAGAUGGGGCACUCACCCAUUCAGCUGAAGGUCUGGAUAGAACCAAACACUGACUUCUCCCAGAAAGAGAAGAUUCUGUCGGCAAAGAGCCUCCAAAACUUAAAUUGCAUUGACUCUUUUAGGUUCCCCCUGCCCAUCUUGCAGAUUUUAGAUUUGCCAGCCUCCAUAAUUAUGGGAACUAAUUCCUUAAAAGAUUGGUUUUGUUUCUCUGGAGAACCAUGGCUAGUACACUAGGUUUGGGCUAUUACAUAUAACAUUACUAUGACCAUUCAUGUAUAGGGUCUUGUGUGAACAAAGUUUUCAUAUCUCUAGAAUAAAUACCCAUGAGUGUGAUCACUGGGUAAUGCAAGAGGUGUGUGUUUCACUUGGUAAGAAACUGGAAAGGUGUCUUCGAGAGGGCUUACACCAUUGCACAGUCCCACCGCCUUGGUUGAACUUGAUCUUCCAUUCUUUAGGACUUGGUAUUGUUGGUAUGUUUGUUUUAGCCAUUCUCAUAGGCACGCAGUAGUGAUAUUUUGAUUUUUAAGUUCAUUCCUCCACCUUAUCACAUUUAUCAUUAUUUGUUUUUCCAUCUCAAAAACCUGCAUUAGUCAUAUUUUCAGAAAGCAUGGGUUGAUGGGGGAACUGGAUGGUUUGGGUUUGGAUAGACAUAGAACUAUUUUCCAGACUGGUUAUCUGAAGAAAGAACUUCAGCAAUCACCGUGGAUUUUGUAAGAAAUUUCUAAAAGGUCUAUUUACUAUCUAUUGCUGCCUAACAAAUAAUCUUAAAACCUAGUGGCUUACUUAGAACAUUUAUUUAGGCCAGUUUCUGUGGGUCAGGAAUCUGAGCACAGCUUAACUGGGUUCUCCAGGACUGGACCUUUCAGAAGGCUGCAGUCAUAGCCAUAGCCAUUUACUUUCUAGUUCACUGAGGUAGUUGGUAGGCUUCAGUGUUUUGCAGGCUGUUAAACCAAGGGCUUUAAAUCCUUACUAGCUAUUGGCUGAAGGCUGUCCUCAGUUCUUUGCCACAUGGGUCUCUUCAAUGUGGAAAUCUGUUUCACCCCCGCCCCCCCCCUCUCUCUCUCACACACACACACACACACACACACACACACACACACACACGGGGAUUCCACAACAAUGUGAAUGAUAGGACAUGGAGAUCAUUAGGAACUGCUGGUGCUGCCUACUGCAGCAGGUGUUUAGGUUUGACAAUCUAGAUGAAGCAGAAGCUACUGCGGAAUUUACCUUGAAGCCAUCUUUGCAAGGAAUCACCAGGCUGUUCUCCAAAGUGGCCUCACCGUUUUGUAUUCCCACCAGCAAUGCGAUAGAAAUAAAAAUAACCUGCCCAUUGUGAGGAUGCAAUGGGCUUAUAAAGGGGAAAACUUCCAUGUGGCUGUCUGAGCUUCCUGGCCCAAAACUCCCACCCUUCUCAGCAUUCCCACUGCAACUGGUGGGAGACCAGCGCUCAACCUGGAGCCUCGCGAGGACCUGGAGGACUGGUUACAUCAGAUCACAGGACCCCAUACCAGAGUUGUCCAACCAGCAGGUCAGAGGUGUUUGCUGAACGAAAUUAUCUUUCCGUUCCCACCUGGACUUCUCCGUCAUCAAGAGAAUGCAUCGUUGAGAUGACAGAGUAGGAUGUACACUGUGACUAAGGAGUGGCUUUUCUCUGCGUGGCUCACUAUCUACUGAAAUAGAACCUAGCCUCUUUAUCACAAGACUUUAACAGGCUGACUACCCAGAUCAGGGUAGUUCAGGGGUAACAGCAGGCCUUUGGAAUCGGUGAUGAUAACAUCCAUCCAGGAAUAGAAAAAGUAAGCCAAUGGUAAAGAUGCCCUAACAAUUUAUAUUUAAUUAAGGUUGUGCUCAUUUUAGGAGUGGGCACUGCUGUCUCAGAGUCUAGUUGCUUGGCAUUUAUUUACCAGCAUUUAGCUGCCAAUUCCCAGGGGCUUGGGAGGUUCCGGCCCUGGCAGCCUGACACAUACUAUCAAAUAAACCAAAGGUCUGAUUUGUAAA